rnacentral:rRNA from 1 species
GGGGAAUUUUCCGCAAUGGGCGAAAGCCUGACGGAGCAAUGCCGCGUGGAGGAGGAAGGCCCGAGGGUUGUAAACUCCUUUUCUCAGAAAAGAAGAUCUGACGGUAUCUGAGGAAUAAGCAUCGGCUAACUCCGUGCCAGCAGCCGCGGUAAGACGGAGGAUGCAAGCGUUAUCCGGAAUUAUUGGGCGUAAAGCGUCCGUAGGUGGUUAUAAAAGUCUGUUGUUAAAGCCCACAGCUCAACUGUGGAUCGGCAAUGGAAACUGUAUGACUUGAGUGUGGUAGGGGUAGAGGGAAUUCCUAGUGUAGCGGUGAAAUGCGUAGAUAUUAGGAAGAACACCAGUGGCGAAGGCGCUCUACUGGGCCAUAACUGACACUGAUGGACGAAAGCUAGGGGAGCGAAAGGGAUUAGAUACCCCUGUAGUC